rnacentral:rRNA from 1 species
UACGUAGGCAGCGAGCGUUUGUUCGGAGUUACUGGGCGUAAAGCGUGCGUAGGCGGUUUUGUAAGUUUGGUGUGAAAUCUCCCGGCUCAACUGGGAGGGUGCGCCGAAAACUGCAAGGCUGGAGUGUGGGAGAGGUAGGCGGAAUUCCUGGUGUAGCGGUGAAAUGCGUAGAUAUCGUUUGGAACGCCAAUGGUGAAAACAGGUAACUGGGAGUGUGCCGACGCUGAGACACGAAAGCCAGGGGGAGCAAAACGGG